rnacentral:rRNA from 1 species
AAGCUCGUAGUUGAAAUUUCGGGGUCAAUAAGUUGGUCGUGCCAAUGGUAUGUACUGGCUUUAUUGAUUCCUACCUCUUGACGAACUGUGAUGCCAUUAAUUUGGUGUUGCAGGAAAUCAGGACUGUUACCUUGAAAAAAUUAGAGUGUUUAAAGCAGGCUUACGCUUGAAUACAUUAGCAUGGAAUAAUGAAAUAGGACGUUUGAACCUAUUUUGUUGGUUUCUAGGAUCGACGUA